rnacentral:snoRNA from 1 species
UUCUAAUGAUGAUAUCAUACUUUGCCUGAUAUACGUGAGGGCAAAAUACUGAUUUAAUGAGACUGAGGA